AUGCUAAAUGACAGAAUAAAUACAUGUGAUCUUUUGACCAGAAAAAGCAUGCACCUGGAUUCCACUUUAUGUGUUCUAUGCAACAAUGAAGACUAUGAAGACAUGACUCAUCUUCUGUUCACUUGUCCAUUUAGUCAAGGUUUCUGGUGGAACAUUGGUUUUGAAUGGAAUUCGGAUAUGGAGAUCAACAAUAUGAUUAUUGAUGCUAAACACAGAUAUAAAAUUGGCCACUUCAUGGAAAUCAUGAUUCUUGGUUGCUGGAGCAUAUGGAACCAAAGGAAUGGGAUGAUUUUUGAAGGGGUACCUUGCUCAAUAAAUGUUUGCAAGAUUGACUUUGUCAAAUAUUUCAAAAUUACCAUGCUGAGGGCUAAACCCACUCUAAAAGAGGGCAUGUCUUCAUGGAUAGACAAUAUUUAUUUUUUCAAUAAUUUCCUUACUUUCCUCCCCCUAGAUUGUACCUACUUGGUUGUCCCCCCAACAACCACUUGA
rnacentral:rRNA from 1 species